CCUACUAACUUUACAAUUUAUAGUAUUUAGUCUAAUAAACAUAAUCUAUAGUAAUUGAGAAAAAAUUAAGGAAAUUAGUUGAAUGCUUUACUUAUGGAUAGGACUAUUUAUCUAUAACAGAAGAAAGAUUUUACCUUAUUCACUACCCAACUGAAUUCUAGUAUUUUAAAAUGGCUCAUAAAAGCUAUGCUAGAUGUAUAGACUUACCCACAGAGCAAGUGUUUCAUAAUAUCAGAAAUGCAAAAAGAUUCGCUAUAGAUAUUGGUGGUUCCCUAGCUAAAGUUGCCUACAGUUCUCUGGUGAAGAAAAAAUCUACAAUGGUCUUUGAUGAGCCAGACUCUGUAAGUAGUUUACACAGCAAGUAAGUAGAAGCAGGUUCAGACCUUCAUGAUCCAUUGGGUAGAUGAUGUAAAGGUCAUCUGGUUCAAGGGCCAACAGUUAACCAGGGUGUCAUGUAUCCAGCACAAUUACCGACUGACACUACUUUCUCCAAGUAAUAUCAGUUGAGUGGACUCAGGAGCGUUUAAAAAUCUAGAAAUU
rnacentral:sRNA from 1 species